CACACAUGAGGGGCAGCUGCUCUGCAUUCAUUGGUUGCUCAAGGGCAGAAAAAAAAUCUUGGUAAACACCUCACCUCUGAUAAGUGGAAGAGAACCUGGAACUGUGCUAGGAAGCUCGCUAGCUGCUUGCAGCAGAGUGAAGAUUUGGAUCAUUCUUCCUGAAUUACUCUAAAGAUACAUAUAUCGGUGUAGCAUUCACAAGUAUCCCAAAGGAGUUUUAGUCUGCAUGGAUUUUAUCAGUACAAUGAGAGCAACUUGAGUCACUUCUGGAGUGAGAGAAUUGGUCGUCUGCAAGGACGUUGCCCAGGGGACACCCGGAUGUUUUGAUGUUUUUACCAUCCUUGUGGGAGGCUUCUCUCUCUUGUCCCCGCUGGAGCUGAUAGAGGGAGCUCAUCUGCACUCUCCCCGGGUGGGAUUCGAACCUGGCAGCUUUCAGUGGAGUCCUGGACAUCUAUCUGAAAGACGUGUCCUGAGAGAACCACUGGAGAAUGCGAGAGCAGAGGCAACUGUAUUGGGAUACCUCGUGUAUGCAACGGCUGUACAAUACGAC
rnacentral:lncRNA from 11 species